UUUGCUUCUCAGCCUUUUGGCUAAGAUCAAAGUGUAGUCUCUGUUCUUAUCAGCUUAAUAUCUGAUAUGGUCCCUAUUUGGGACCAUCAAUAUUAAACUGAUUUUUAGAAUGAGGCAAACAAUUAGGGGCUUGCUCUGCCUUCGGCACGGUUUGACCUGAUAUUGCAGUACUUUCAGAAUUCAACCCAGUAACU